CAUAUCUAACACAGACCAAAUGACGCAGAAGACCCCGUGACUGUUACCUCUUCAGUGUGGAAUGUUAAAUAUACCUUUCCUGAGAAAAAAGACCACCUCAACGAAUCCAAUCAUUGUAACUAUGCGCUAAGCCUCAUGUAGAAAGGCAUUGCAGUCUAACGGAAAUCAAAGUGGGUUGAUGAUUGCUGUACACUGUGGCUGGUGCUGUGAUAGAGAUGGGCAUUCUGCACACAAACAGGUGCCACAGAAACACAGAGGAGGAACACCUGCAUCUGCUGGCUGCAGCCCUCUGGCUGAAUCUGAACCUGAGAGGUUGACAUGAUGAAGUGAAGACACAGAGGGAGAUCAUCACAUGAUCACAGAGGAAGAGACUGGAGUGAUGUGAGUCAAGGAUGUCCCCACUGACACUUCAGUUUUGGAAUUCUAACCUCCAGAAUUGUGAGAGAAUACAUUUCCAUGAUUUUAAGCCAUCCAGUUGGUGACACUUCAUUACAGCCACCCUAGGAAAUGAAUACAACAGUGUCACAUUGUUAGACACUGUGAUCCUUCGUCCCCUUUCCUGAUGUUCUCUUUCCUGCAGCUGAGGUGAGCUCCACAAUCAUAAUACCCCUGCCUCUCCCUCUCACUGCACUCACUCUUCCACAGCAGGAGAAGUAAAUUGUGAUUGCUGAGUUUGGGAUACAGGAACAGGGCUCUUGUCCUAGCUCUGUCUUAUCCCAUUGUCCUCUUUGCUCCUGCCCUGAGGGUCUCCCUUCUUUCUGCUCAGUUCUGCCAUGCUCUUAGAGCUUUAAAUGUAUUUGGGUUCCCAAGAACCAAAGCCUGA